GGCCAUAUCCCAUUGAAAUAUUGGUUUCCAUACAAUCACUGAAGAUAAGCAAUGUCGUGCCUGGUCAGUACUUAGAUGGGUGACCACUUAGGAAUACUU